UCUGGCAGCCAGGAACCACAACUGAUCACUGCCAGCCCCGAAAUAUCUCCCUGAGCAUCCCGAGGAAAAGCAUACCGCCUUCCAGCGCUGUCGGCGUCAGCGGAGCAGCUGGUGCUGUGACAGCCGCGCCCCAGGCUCCACACCGGGGGUGCUGUGCCGGGGAAGGGCAGCUUAGCCGGGCGGCCCCUCAGGGACUUCAGCUCCCGGCAGGCCGCGCGGCCGGCGGCGACUGGCGGCGAGGUGCGCGGGCACUGGCGGGGCCGCCGGCCGUUACUGCCGCCUCGCGCCCAAGGCGGGCCUCGCGGGUGCGGCCUGUCCCCCACAGCCGUCUGUGUGCCCGGCGUUGGAACGUUGGGUCACUGACAGGGGAAAUACGUGUUUUACACACGGAUGCAACCCGUUCUGCUCUGCAUAAGCCUAGUUUACGAAGAGGAGCUUUCCUCGCUUCCCUCAACGUGAAACCGCGCAAGCCCUUCGUUGUUUCCACCCUCCACUUGAUCCGUGAACGUGUUUAGCCAUGAUUUUACCCAGGCUGUUGGAACAAGAAAGCCUGUUUUUCUCUCUCUGCUGUUCAAGGUCUUUUAGCCAGAACGCAUGCACUGUGUGAGCCUCACUUCAGAUACUCCAAGGAUUAAUUGAAGAACAUGAUGGAAGGAAGGGGAGAGCGUGAGUAAAAUAGCUGGUUUAUAUUUGUAUCCUCAAAUGUCAGUUCAUUACCAAGUUAGAAACCAGCUGAUACAGAGAACUCAUUAUGGCUUCAUCUAGAAUGCUUAUUUCUUGAGAGACGAAAAAGAAUUCUUACUUGUCCAACACAGAUAUGCUACGUUCUACAGCACACUUUGGGAUGUGAAGUAAAGAGGGUUUUCUUUA